GAUGAACGCUGGCGGCGUGCCUAAUACAUGCAAGUCGAGCGAACAGAUGAGGAGCUUGCUCCUCUGACGUUAGCGGCGGACGGGUGAGUAACACGUGGAUAACCUACCUAUAAGACUGGGAUAACUACGGGAAACCGGAGCUAAUACCGGAUAAUAUAUUGAACCGCAUGGUUCAAUAGUGAAAGACGGUUUUGCUGUCACUUAUAGAUGGAUCCGCGCCGCAUUAGCUAGUUGGUAAGGUAACGGCUUACCAAGGCAACGAUGCGUAGCCGACCUGAGAGGGUGAUCGGCCACACUGGAACUGAGACACGGUCCAGACUCCUACGGGAGGCAGCAGUAGGGAAUCUUCCGCAAUGGGCGAAAGCCUGACGGAGCAACGCCGCGUGAGUGAUGAAGGUCUUCGGAUCGUAAAACUCUGUUAUCAGGGAAGAACAAAUGUGUAAGUAACUAUGCACGUCUUGACGGUACCUAAUCAGAAAGCCACGGCUAACUACGU
rnacentral:rRNA from 1 species